rnacentral:rRNA from 1 species
AUGGGUCAAGUCAGCGACGAUCUAGAAGCUGGGGCGGCCGCCAAACCCUACCGUCGCAGCGAGGAGUCGUCUUUCGUCACGCUCCUAGUAUCUGCACUGAUUUCUGUCUUGUUGAUGGUAGCAUUGUCCACGGUCAUGGACCGUCGAAUCCCCUCCGUCGUCUCCGUCCACCUCACGGGCUACGACGGCAUCGACCCUGGCGCCGCCGGCCGCGUGGUCUCGCCGGCUUUCAACAUCACGCUCCGUCUGAACGGCACCUGCGUCCACCGCGCGUGGCCGUCAUGUACUCCGGCGUCGCGCUCGGCUGGGCGCGCGUGGACCCGCGGGACUGCGCCAAGAGGCGGUGGGCCAAGGACGUGGAGGUGGCGGCCCGGGGAGCCGGGGUGGGGCUGUCGCAGCGCCUCCGCGACCGCAUGGCGUCGGACUGGCGCUCGGGCGCGGUGGAGCUCGACGUCGACGUCACGACGUACAUGGAAGACCCGCCCUCUACUGACACUGAGUUUCCCCAACACAUGA